rnacentral:rRNA from 1 species
GUCCACGCCCUAAACGAUGUCUACUAGUUGUCGGGUUUUAAUUAACUUGGUAACGCAGCUAACGCGUGAAGUAGACCGCCUGGGGAGUACGGUCGCAAGAUUAAAACUCAAAGGAAUUGACGGGGACCCGCACAAGCGGUGGAUGAUGUGGAUUAAUUCGAUGCAACGCGAAAAACCUUACCUACCCUUGACAUGUACGGAAGCCUUGAGAGAUCGAGGUGUGCUCGAAAGAGAGCCGUAACACAGGUGCUGCAUGGCUGUCGU